CUCUAACACUCCUACGGGAGGCAGCAGUGGGGAAUAUUGCACAAUGGGGGAAACCCUGAUGCAGCCAUGCCGCGUGUGUGAAGAAGGCCUUCGGGUUGUAAAGCACUUUCAGUAGGGAGGAAGGUAGUGUAGUUAACACCUGCAUUAUUUGACGUUACCUACAGAAGAAGCACCGGCUAACUCCGUGCCAGCAGCCGCGGUAAUACGGAGGGUGCGAGCGUUAAUCGGAAUUACUGGGCGUAAAGCGCAUGCAGGCGGCCUGUUAAGUCAGAUGUGAAAGCCCGGGGCUUAACCUCGGAAUUGCAUUUGAAACUGGCAGGCUAGAGUCUUGUAGAGGGGGUAGAAUUUCAGGUGUAGCGGUGAAAUGCGUAGAGAUCUGAAGGAAUACCAGUGGCGAAGGCGGCCCCCUGGACAAAGACUGACGCUCAGAUGCGAAAGCGUGGGGAGCAAACAGGAUUAGAUACCCUGGUAG
rnacentral:rRNA from 1 species